CUAGCGACAGGCCUAACACAUGCAAGUCGAGGGGCGAGCGACAAGGAGCAAUCUGAGGUGGCGACCGGCGCACGGGUGAGUAACACGUAUGCAACCUGCCUGUAAGCGGGGAAUAACCCGUUGAAAGAACGGACUAAUACCGCAUAAUACUAAAUUACUGCAUGGUAAUUUAUUUAAACAUUUAUGGCUUACAGAUGGGCAUGCGCAUGAUUAGCUAGUUGGAGAGGUAACGGCUCCCCAAGGCAACGAUCAUUAGGGGUUCUGAGAGGAAGGUCCCCCACACUGGUACUGAGACACGGACCAGACUCCUACGGGAGGCAGCAGUGAGGAAUAUUGGUCAAUGGACGAGAGUCUGAACCAGCCAAGUCGCGUGCAGGAAGAAUGUCCCUAUGGAUUGUAAACUGCUUUUGCAGGGGAAUAAAGUGCAUCACGUGUGAUGUUUUGUAUGUACUCUGCGAAUAAGGAUCGGCUAACUCCGUGCCAGCCGCCGC
rnacentral:rRNA from 1 species